UACAGAGGUCUCAAGCGUUGUUCGGAUUCAUUGGGCGUAAAGGGUGCGUAGGUGGCGCGGUAAGUCGGGUGUGAAAUUUCGGAGCUUAACUCCGAAACUGCAUUCGAUACUGCCGUGCUUGAGGACUGGAGAGGAGACUGGAAUUUACGGUGUAGCAGUGAAAUGCGUAGAGAUCGUAAGGAAGUACCAGUGGCGAAGGCGGGUCUCUGGAUAGUUCCUGACACUGAGGCACGAAGGCCAGGGGAGCAAACGGG
rnacentral:rRNA from 1 species